GUAGGUGAACCUGCGGAAGGAUCAUUAAAGCUCUUAUUUGUUCUGUUUUAACAAGCGGAACAACUAUUUUAUCCAAGAGUGUGAUUUAUAAUUAGACAAUCUUUUUAUACAACAAAAACAACCAAAAAACAAACAACAAAUAUAUAGAUAAAAGAACCAAAAAGAAAAACUAUACUAAUAGAGUAUUGUAAAAAUAAACAAAAAACAACUCUAGGCAAUGGAUAUCUUGGUUCCCGCAUCGAUGAAGAAC
rnacentral:misc_RNA from 1 species